UCGGAAUAGCUCCUGGAAACGGGUGGUAAUGCCGAAUGUGCCCUUCGGGGGAAAGAUUUAUCGCCUUUAAGCGGCCCGCGUCUGAUUAGCUAGUUGGUGAGGUAAUGGCUCACCAAGGCGACGAUCAGUAGCUGGUCUGAGAGGAUGACCAGCCACAUUGGGACUGAGACACGGCCCAAACUCCUACGGGAGGCAGCAGUGGGGAAUCUUGCGCAAUGGGCGAAAGCCUGACGCAGCCAUGCCGCGUGAAUGAUGAAGGUCUUAGGAUUGUAAAAUUCUUUCACCGGGGACGAUAAUGACGGUACCCGGAGAAGAAGCCCCGGCUAACUUCGUGCCAGCAGCCGCGGUAAUACGAAGGGGGCUAGCGUUGCUCGGAAUUACUGGGCGUAAAGGGCGCGUAGGCGGAUCGUUAAGUCAGAGGUGAAAUCCCGGAGCUCAACUUCGGAACUGCCUUUGAUACUGGCGAUCUUGAGUGUGAGAGAGGUAUGUGGAACUCCGAGUGUAGAGGUGAAAUUCGUAGAUAUUCGGAAGAACACCAGUGGCGAAGGCGACAUACUGGCUCAUUACUGACGCUGAGGCGCGAAAGCGUGGGGAGCAAACAGGAUUAGAUACCUGGUAGUCCACGCCGUAAACGAUGA
rnacentral:rRNA from 1 species